CCCCUUGAGGCUCACACUGUAAGUGGGUAGGAUUUGGUCGCAGUUCUGGCGAAAUCCGUGGGAGGCGAAGAAGAGUUUUUGUGCUGGCCAGAAAUCUAACGAGCGGGGCAGGAAUUGCUAUAGACUGGUGAAGGCUCUGGAUGUAUUAACUGUGUUUCAUGCACUUCAGCAGCUAUGUAACAGCUGUUGGAAGUAUGGUGCUAAUUUGUGAGUCAUUUUGGAACUGUGCAUUGGAACAUAAAGGAAGAAAGAUGCUUGGUGCCAAUGACACAUAAAUAUCAUUUGUCAUGCUAUCUGGGAAGAAGACCUUGACAAGCACUGGAACCACUGAGCUAAAUCCCCGGCCCUUCAUAAUAUAUUUCAAAUAAAUAUCAGAUGAAGUAUCCUCAGUGAGUGGGAUGAAUGCCCAGAAGAGAUGUUUUGCUGGCUCUCUAGAUGCCAUAUGAGAACAAAGGAUUUAGUCAAAGAUCUGGAGCUCACUACAGUGUUCUGUGUAUCAGGAGGCCGAUGGAUCUGCAAUGGAAGGCUGAUGAGUCUAUGUUGGAAGACUGAAGGACCUGUCCUGGAAGCUGAAGAGUCUGUACUGGAAGCCAGGAGAUGAUGUCCAAAGUGAAGGUGAAGACUGGAGUUCCUCCAAAGAAACAGAAGCACUUUUGUCCUUCAUUUCCCCUUUAUACCAUCCAGGUGACAAGACACCCUAGGGUGGGUCUUGAACACCCCAGAGUGUGGAAUUGCUGAGCUAAUUUAGUUGAAUUUCUCUUACUCAAGUUGACACAAUCAAACAAUCCUCACAGUCCACCCCUUGUCAACUGACAACCAGACUCAUUUCUUUAGAUACAAAGAUACAGUCUCUAGAUACAAAGACCAGCACAUAAUUAUACCUAACAUGUUAUAACUUUCCUGUGUACAAAUGGAAAUACACUAGUUCCCUCCCCAGAAUAGAAGGCAACUUUUCUUUGGGUGAUGCUUACUCUUAACAUUUCAUAAAUUAACAUUAUAACAUAGGUUUAACAAUCCUUAAGAACUAGUAUUAAUUCUAUCAACAUUAUAUUACAUUAGAAUCAUAUUAGGAGAGAACUAGUACAAUUGCAAUCCUCAUUUACAUAGCUGAUCAAGGGAUCAUAGCUGGUAUUUAGAAUUAUAUUCUACUACCCAUUCUGUAUUCCCUUGGCUUUUAGCAAGCACCUCAGAUUUUGGUUUUUCCCCUGGUGGAGUGACCCAUACCUUCAUUCCUGAAGGUUCUGGACCAUUUGUUAUUCAUCCUGAAUUAAGUUAUUGUAGUUUCCUAUUGACUUUAAUAAUAACAACAGGGCGUAGUAAUACUAGGAGGCAACCUAAGAGAUCUCCUUCACUCCAAGUGUAUUCUUCUUUUCCUCCAUUGUGGAGUAAUAGUCCAAUUUCCCUUUGAUAGUCUGCACCCCCUGACAACACUGUGACUCCUUUUUUAGCUUGUUUUCUCAGAGGCAUGAGGAGAUCAAAAUGACCAGGGGAAGUCUUAACUUCUAGUUCAAUGGUAUCAUUGUGCUUUCUGGUACAAGUUUUUCCCCCAUCUGGAACUAAGACUAUUAAGCCAGCAGAACAUAAGGUCUUGGGAACAGGAAGCAAAAAUUUUGGUAGUGGAUUACUGGGGGUAAUGGUGAGUGGUACAUUCCCACUUCUGUCCCUUGAUUCCUGGACCCACAAAUCCUGGCUAUGGGAGACACAGUACUAUAUAGAGAAUGCUGAUUCAAAGCCUAUACAACCCACUUGUCUCAGCCCUGAAAGCUACUGCCACCUAGGUGGUGCUGUAACUGUGUCUUCAAAAGACUAUUUCCAACUUUCUAUCAAUCCAGCUACUUCUGGAUGAUGAGGAACUUGGUAAGACCAGUGAAUUCCAUGAGCUUGAGCCCAUUGCCUCACUUCUUUGGGUGUAAAAUGUGUUCCUUGGUUAGAGGCAAUGCAAUGUAGAAUUUCAUGACAGUGGAUAAGGCAUUCUUAGUCCACAGAUGGUAGUUUUGGCAGAAGCAUUAGGUGCAGGGAAGGCAAAUCUAUAUCCGUAAUAACUGUCUAUGCCAGUAAGGACAAAGCACAGUCCCUUCCAUGAUGGAAUUGGUCCAAUAUAAUCAACCUGCCAGCAGGUCACAGGUUGAUCACCCUGAAGAAUGGUGCCAUAUCAGGGACUCAGUGUUGGUCUCUGCUGCUAGCAUGUUGAGCAUUCAACAGUGGCUGUAGCCACAUGAGCCUUGGUGGGUGGGAGUCUGUGUUUCUGAGCCCAUGCAUACAUAACCUCCAUCCCUGCCACCAUGGCCUUUCUGUUCAUAAGCCCAUUGGGCAAUGACAGGGGUAGCUAAAGGAGGAGGUUGACCACUAUUUACAGAACAAGUCAUCUUAUCCACUUGAUUAUUAAAGUUCUCUUCUGCUGAGGUCACCUUUUGGUGAGCACUUACAUGGGGAACAAAUAUUUUUUACAUCCUUUGUCCGUAGGGAGAGGUCUAUUCACAGACCUCUUCUCCAGAUAUCUUUGUCACCAAUUUUUGAGUUAUGUUCCUUCCAAGUUCCUUACCAUUCAGUCAGGCCAUUGGCUACAGCCCAUGAAUUAGUUAUAUAGUCGCACAUCUGGCCAUUUCUUCUUCCAGGCAAAAUGUAUUACCAGGUGCACUGCAUGAGGUUCUGCCCACUGUGACACUUUUCCUUCAACACUAUCUUUCAGGGAUGUCCUGGAAAAGGGUUCUAAUGCUGCAGUUGUCCACUUGCUGGUGGUGUCUGUUUAGCGUGCAGAACCGUCCAUAAACCAGCCCCUAGCUUGCUCUUCCUCUGACAGCUGAUCAUAUGGUAUACCCCAUGAAGCCAUAGAUGUCAGGGCAACUUCCUCAUGUAAUUUACUUGUACCUUCUGGACCUGCUGUGGCUCAUCACAUAUCUACCAUUUCCAUUUAAUAAUAGACUGUUGGGCCAGGGAUUUAGCUCAGUGAUUCCGGCGCCCGCCUCGCAAGCACAAGGUCCCGAGUUCGAUCCCCAAUACCAAAAAAAAAAAAAAACCCUCACAGUAAUGAUAGACUGUUGCUGUGCAUGUGCAAUCUUAUGACUGGGUGGAUCAGAUAAUACCCAGCUUAUGAUAGGCAACUCAGGUUGCAUGGUGACCUUGUGUCCCAUGGUCAAGUGUUCAGUUUCCGCUAAGGCCCAGGAGCAGGCCAAGACCUGCUUUUCUUUUCUUUUAAGACCUGUUUUUCAAAGGGAGAGUAGUUGUCUGCAGAUGAUGGCAGAACCUUGCUGCAAAAUCCUAAAGGCUUCUGUUGCAAUUCACCUAUGGGGGCUUGCCACAGAUUCCAGAUAGCAUCUCUUCCUGUCACUGACACUUCAAGUACCAUUGGAUCUGCUGGAUCAUAUGGCUGCAGUGGCAGAGCAGCCUGCACAACAGCCUGAACCUGUUGCAGAGCCUUUUCUCAUUCUGGGCCCCACUCAAAACUAGCAGCUUUCCAAGUCAUUAGGUAAGGCCUUAAGUCCCUCUGGAGAAGAACGGGAGAAAGAUUGAAUGCACAAAUUUUUGGUGCAUCAGGAUCCUUCUCCAAGGGGACCUGGCCUUCCCUUCAUUCAAAGGGUUCUGGAUGUGUAAGGUGGCUCAAAUAUGGGAACUGGUUGAGGGGCCAUGCUUCUUGGUUUCAAUGAUUUGAAGUAGGUUUCUGUUCAUUUGCCCUUAAAUUUUUUGAUUAUAUAAAUCUAGUAAAAAUUU